GGUUUCCGUAGGNGAACCUGCGGAAGGAUCAU
rnacentral:rRNA from 1 species